rnacentral:rRNA from 1 species
CUCGAGGCCAGAUCUUUCCGGUUGAUCCUGCCGGACCUGACUGCUAUCGGAUUGAUACUAAGCCAUGCGAGUCUUUGUAGCAAUACAAGGCAGACGGCUCAGUAACACGUAGUCAAUCUACCCUAUGGACGGGGAUAACCUCGGGAAACUGAGAAUAAUACCCGAUAGAUCAUUAUGCCUGGAAUGGUUUAUGGUCGAAAUGAUUUAUCGCCGUAGGAUGGGACUGCGGUCUAUCAGCUUGUUGGUGAGGUAAUGGCCCACCAAGGCUAUAACAGAUACGGGCUCUGAGAGGAGAAGCCCGGAGAUGGGUACUGAGACACGGACCCAGGCCCUAUGGGGCGCAGCAGGCGAGAAAACUUUGCAAUGUGCGAAAGCACGACAAGGUUAAUCCGAGUGUUUUCUGCUAAAGAAAUCUUAUGUCAGUCCUAAAAACACUGAUGAAUAAGGGGUGGGCAAGUUCUGGUGUCAGCCGCCGCGGUAAAACCAGCACCUCAAGUGGUCAGGAGGAUUAUUGGGCCUAAAGCAUCCGUAGCCGGCCGUGUAAGUUUUCGGUUAAA